rnacentral:rRNA from 1 species
UACGUAGGCGGAAAAUUAAGUCAGUAGUGAAAUCCUGCAGCUUAACUGUAGAACUGUUAUUGAUACUGGUUUUCUUGAAUAUAGUUGAGGUAAGCGGAAUGUGUAAUGUAGCGGUGGAAUUCUUAGAUAUUACACAGAACACCGAUUGCGAAGGCAGCUUACUAAGCUAUGAUUGACGCUGAGGUACGAAAGCGUGGGGAGCGAACAGGAUUAGAUACCCUGGUAGUCC